AAACCAUAUUCAACAAUAGGUCCUUUUAGUUACCAAACUAUCAAGGAUAAUAGGGAAGUUGGUGAAAAUCCAACGCGGUCCCGCCACUGUAAAUGCUAAAGUGACUUUCACAAGUGCCACUGUACAAGGAUGUAUGGGAAGGUUGAAAGUCAUGCUUGAAGUAUUAGCCAGGAGACCUGCCUAUUGUGGUGUAUAAGA
rnacentral:ncRNA from 1 species